rnacentral:lncRNA from 10 species
UGGGAGGAUGCUCUGACUUCAGUGAGUCUUAGGAGGUGCUUGAGAAACUAGGGAGGCAGAUGCAGGGGAUGGGGACACUGGGGCAUCCAGAACCAGGUUCCAGGCGCUGGGUUGGGGGAGAGGCAGACACGCAAGGCAGGCACCUCCGCGCAGCGUGAAACCACCCACUAGAUGGAAGGGCUGGGCUCUCGGGGCACAUGUUGGGAAGAGGAAGGAAUAUCUCUGACAGGGUCAGGGACGCCUUUGGGAUCGAGUGACACUGCAGGUGAGGAGGACCUGGACGCCGUGGGUAAGAAUAGACCAUGGAGGUGUGUGGGGCCAGCUGCAGCGUUGGAACACGAAAUGAUGUGGCCCCCAGCCAAGGCAGGAAAGAGGGGAAGAUGUGGAUCCGGCAUGGAGGAUCAGUGGAGCAGCAGAACUGCAGGAGCUUAUAGUAAAAUGCAAGAAGAAACAAAGAUGAAAUUUAUAAUCCAAAGGGAAGCAGAACA